rnacentral:rRNA from 1 species
AGCAGUGGGGAAUAUUGGACAAUGGGCGCAAGCGGGAUCCAGCCAUACCGCGUGGGUGAAGAAGGCCUUCGGGUUGUAAAGCCCUUUUGUUGGGAAAGAAAUCCUAACAUUUAAUAACCGGUAGGGAUGACGGUACCCAAAAAAAAAACACCGGGUAAAUUCGUGCCAGCAGCCGCGGUAAUACGAAGGGAGCCAGCGUUUUUCGGAAAUUUCUGGGGGUAAAAGGUGCGUAGGGGGUUGUUUAAAUUUGUGGUGAAAACUCUGGGCUCAACCUGGGAAAUGCGCCUGGAUAAUGGGCAACUAGAGUGUAGGAGAGGGUAGUGGAAAUUUCCGGUGGAGCAGUGAAAAGCGUAGAGAUUGGCAGGAAAAUCCGUGGGGAAAGGCGAGUCUCUGGGCCAACACUGACACUGAGGCACGAAAGCGUGGGGAGCAAACAGGAUUAGAUACCCCGGUAGUCCACGCCCUAAACGAUGCGAACUGGAUGUUGGGCACAACUUGUGCCUCAGUAUCGCAGCUAACGCGAUAAGUACGCCGCCUG